rnacentral:rRNA from 1 species
AACGAACGCUGGCGGCAUGCCUAACACAUGCAAGUCGAACGAAGGCUUCGGCCUUAGUGGCGCACGGGUGCGUAACGCGUGGGAAUCUACCCUUAGGUACGGAAUAACAGUUAGAAAUGACUGCUAAUACCGGAUGAUGACGUAAGUCCAAAGAUUUAUCGCCUAAGGAUGAGCCCGCGUAGGAUUAGCUUGUUGGUGAG